rnacentral:rRNA from 1 species
UAUACGACCGUACCGCAAACCGACACUGGUGCGCGAGAUGAGUAUUCUAAGGCGCUUGAGAGAACUCAGGAGAAGGAACUCGGCAAAUUGACACCGUAACUUCGGAAGAAGGUGUGCCCUAUUAGUGUGUAGUGAACAACGAAGCAUGAAUGGGUUGCAAAAAAUCGGUGGCUGCGACUGUUUAUUAAAAACACAGCACUCUGCAAACACGAAAGUGGACGUAUAGGGUGUGACGCCUGCCCGGUGCUGGAAGAUUAAAUGAUGGGGUGCAAGCUCUUGAUUGAAGUCCCAGUAAACGGCGGCCGUAACAAUAACGGUCCUAAGGUAGCGAAAUUCCUUGUCGGGUAAGUUCCGACCUGCACGAAUGGCGUAACGAUGGCCACACUGUCUCCUCCUGAGACUCAGCGAAGUUGAAAUGUUUGUGAUGAUGCAAUCUCCCCGCGGAAAGACGGAAAGACCCCAUGAACCUUUACUGUAGCUUUGUAUUGGACUUUGAACAGAUCUGUGUAGGAUAGGUGGGAGGCUUUGAAGCAGGGUCGCUAGAUCUUGUGGAGCCAACGUUGAAAUACCACCCUGGUGUGUUUGAGGUUCUAACCUAGGUCCAUUAUCUGGAUCGGGGACAGUGCAUGGUAGGCAGUUUGACUGGGGCGGUCUCCUCCCAAAGCGUAACGGAGGAGUUCGAAGGUACGCUAGUUACGGUCGGACAUCGUGACGAUAGUGCAAUGGCAUAAGCGUGCUUAACUGCGAGACUGACAAGUCGAGCAGAUGCGAAAGCAGGACAUAGUGAUCCGGUGGUUCUGUAUGGAAGGGCCAUCGCUCAACGGAUAAAAGGUACUCUGGGGAUAACAGGCUGAUACCGCCCAAGAGUUCAUAUCGACGGCGGUGUUUGGCACCUCGAUGUCGGCUCAUCUCAUCCUGGGGCUGUAGCCGGUCCCAAGGGUAUGGCUGUUCGCCAUUUAAAGAGGUACGUGAGCUGGGUUUAAAACGUCGUGAGACAGUUUGGUCCCUAUCUUCCGUGGGCGCUGCAGAUUUGAGGAAGCCUGCUCCUAGUACGAGAGGACCGGAGUGGACACACCUCUGGUGUAUCGGUUGUCACGCCAGUGGCAUUGCCGAGUAGCUAAGUGUGGAAGAGAUAACCGCUGAAAGCAUCUAAGCGGGAAACUCGUUUCAAGAUGAGAUCUGCCGGGGCCUUGAGCCCCCUAAAGAGUCGUUCAAGACCAGGACGUUGAUAGGUCAGGUGUGGAAGCGAAAAUAAAGA